GAUGAACGCUGGCGGCGUGCCUAAUACAUGCAAGUCGAGCGAACAGACGAGGAGCUUGCUCCUCUGACGUUAGCGGCGGACGGGUGAGUAACACGUGGAUAACCCACCUAUAAGACUGGGAUAACUUCGGGAAACCGGAGCUAAUACCGGAUAAUAUAUUGAACCGCAUGGUUCAAUAGUGAAAGACGGUUUUGCUGUCACUUAUAGAUGGAUCCGCGCCGCAUUAGCUAGUUGGUAAGGUAACGGCUUACCAAGGCAACGAUGCGUAGCCGACCUGAGAGGGUGAUCGGCCACGCUGGAACUGAGACACGGUCCAGACUCCUACGGGAGGCAGCAGUAGGGAAUCUUCCGCAAUGGGCGAAAGCCUGACGGAGCAACGCCGCGUGAGUGAUGAAGGUCUUCGGAUCGUAAAACUCUGUUAUUAGGGAAGAACAAAUGUGUAAGUAACUAUGCACGUCUUGACGGUACCUAAUCAGAAAGCCACGGCUAACUACGUG
rnacentral:rRNA from 1 species